rnacentral:tRNA from 1 species
UCCCCUGUAGCUCAGUUGGUAGAGCAGCGGACUGUUAAUCCGCGUGUCCCAGGUUCGAGCCCUGGCGGGGGAG